AUGUGAGUCUGAUUUAGAAUCUGUUUCCAUCUGGUAUUGUUCCAGCUUCUUUACACAUGGUCACUUCCACAACAUCUACUAGUCCCACUACUACAGUAUUUUCACAGCCUGUAUCUUCCACAGCAUCUACUAGUUCAACUUCUACAGCUUCUUUACACAUGGUCACUUCCACAACAUCUACCAGUCCCACUACUACAGUUCUUUUACAACCGGUCACUUCCACACCAUCUAGUUCUACAUCUACAGUCUCUUUACAGCCAGUCAAUUCUACAACAUCUACUGGUUGUACUUCUACAGUGUCUUUACAGCCAGUCACUUCCACAACAUUUACUAGUUCUACUUCUACAGCUUCUUUACACAUGGUCACUUCCACAACAUCUACUAGUCCCACUACUACAGUUCUUUUACAACCAGUCACUUCCGCAACAUCUACAAGUUCUACUUCUGCAGUUUCUUUAAAGCCAGUCACCUCCGCAAAAUCUUCUAGUUCUACUUCUACAGCUUCUUUACACAUGGUCACUUCCACAACAUCUACCAGUCCCACUACUACAGGUGAAUGUGUUGCUGUACUGGAAUGUGGCUUUCACAAGAAGCUCCUCCUAAUCUGAGUCUGAUUUAACAGCUGUUUCCAUAUGUUGUGUUUCAGUUACUUUACCGCCAAUCACGUCCACAGCAUUUACAGGUCAUACUUCUACAGGUUAGUGUGAUGCUGGACUUCCUUUCAUCCAAGUUUUGGUGCUGAUUUCUGCCUCCU
ensembl:lncRNA